GCUGAAAGCAUCUAAGCGUGAAGCCCCCCUCAAGAUGAGAUUUCCCAGUAUGUAAGACCCCUUGAAGACGACGAGGUUGAUAGGUUCGAGGUGGAAGCGCAGCAAUGCGUGGAGCUGACGAAUACUAAUCGGUCGAGGGCUUAUCCUAA
rnacentral:rRNA from 1 species